AAGUGACUAUGAGGGGGAUGGGGCAGUGUGAGAUGACGGGACCAGAGCACGUUCCUGGCUGCAGAGGCCACAAGUCACGCUGUCUCUGAGAGCCACGGUGGCCUCAUCUCUCUGCCAUAAACUUGCCAAUUAUCCUGCUGCUGCCUCAUUGACUUCGCACCCACUCUUCCCUCUGGAACAGAGGACACUCUCGCCAGCUCUCCCCAUGGCGGAUCCUUGUCUAGGUGGAAUGUCACCAUCGCCCAGGUGGGGAUUUUUGUGUGUUUUGUUCACUGCUGUACACCCAGCCCCCAGCACAGCGCCUGUCCAGGACAAGUGCCCAGUAAACACUUGGGAAGCAAUGCAAGCGUCCUCCCAGCAGCUCCUGCAAACAGACCCCCGACCCAAGCCCUUCCUUCUGCCUCCACUGCCACCACUGCUGCUCAUCUCUGCUGGCACAGAAGUCUCUUCCCUGGUCUUCCAGAAAUCCCCUCUCCACACUCAGCCAGAGGGAGCUAUUAAAACUGUGGGCCAGCCCACAUCAGUCCACAGCAAAGUCCUCUCUAAGGGAUCUCUGUUGCUUGGAGAAUAAACCCUCGGAUUCCUUCCUUGGC
rnacentral:lncRNA from 1 species